rnacentral:rRNA from 1 species
CCUACGGGCGGCUGCAGUGGGGAAUUUUGGACAAUGGGCGCAAGCCUGAUCCAGCUAUUCCGCGUGUGGGAUGACGGCCCUCGGGGUGUAAACCACUUUAGUAGAGAACGCAAAGGAGCUAUCGAAUAAAUAGCUCUGCUGACGGUACUCUAAGAAUAAGGACCGGCUAACUACGUGCCAGCAGCCGCGGUAAUACGGGGGGUGCGAGCGUCAAUCGGAAUUACUGGGCGUGAAGGGUGUGCAGGCGGCUGAGUAAGAGAGAUGUGAAAUCCCCGGGCUUAACCUGGGAACGGCAUAUGUGACUGCUUGGCUAGAGUGCGUCAGAGGGAGGUGGAAUUCCACGGGUAGCAGUGAAAUGCGUAGAUAUGUGGAAGAACACCGAUGGCGAAGGCAGCCUCCUGGGACGCAACUGACGCUCAUACACGAAAGCGUGGGGAGCGAACAGGAUUAGAUACCCCUGUAGUC